GCUAGUUAUAAAUAACUCCACCAUGCAUUGUUUUGUUAUAUCUCGAGGGAUUAUACAAUGUUUUCAACAAAAACUCCCAGGCGGCUUAACUUUUUCCGACACUUUCUACAAUUAUCGUGAUAUUUUUACCGAUUUAUAUAUAAAACCUUGAUAAACCUUUGUUGAAAAUCACUAUGAAAAUCCGUUCAGUAGUCUUUUAGUUAAUUGCGAACAGACAAACUGAGGCGGCGGAGGACUUUUAUAAUAUGUAUAGGUAGGUGAUAAAAAGAGUUACCUAGAUAGCCAGUCUAGAUUUAACAUUAUAAUGAAGUGGGUGCCUUAAUAAAUAACGGUAAAAUAAAUACAACGUAUGGAACAAACUUUAACAAAAUGCGUUUAGCCAUUUUUGCGUGAUUAAACAACUAUAUAAACUUAUGAUAAUAAUCUGUAUUCUAAACAUGUAAGGGUAUUCAAAACAAAACACCUUUUUUAGUAAGAAAAACUCAAUAUAAGUGAAAGUUAUCGAUAUUCGGAAUCAAUUAACAAAAUCAAAAACUACGCGGUUUGAAUAAUUAUAUCACCUAACCCCAAUCCAUAACCUCUGAGCCUGUUUUCCUUUAUUCAAUUCACAGUUUAGCCCCGUCGCGCGCGUAGGGCGGGCGGGCGGACGGUUGUUCGUAGCUGCCUACGUAGCUUCUUUUGUCUCAUUUAAAUUAACCUGAAUUACGAGGAUUUAUUUCAAUUGAAUUGGUAUUUAAAUUCUGUUUUGUAUUAUUUGAGACCAGUCUUCACUAGGUGGAAAGCAGUAUGCUGCUGCUUGCGCUGUGUCUCCUGCGCUGGCCGGGCGCGUCCGUCGCAGCGCAGUGCGAGCGCGCGCCGCCGCACGCGCAGCCGACCGACGUGCACUACAAGCUGAGCGUGGCGGGCGACCCCGACUUCUUCCUACCAGGAGAACUUUAUAUUGUAUCAGUCCAAGGAGUAGACAGCGGACAAGGGCCGACGCCAUUCGGAAGUUUCGCCAUAUGGUCCGAAAUAGUGGAGAAUGAUGAGAAAACCAACACCACUAAAGUUGUCAACUCCCAUUCCCUCGGGACAUUCCAAGCGUACGACGCACAAACUAAACCUCACGAAAAUUGCAAGACAGCCGUUGACAAUGCCACCGCACAUCCUAAAACCGAAGUACAGGUGAUCUGGAGCGCACCAACAAUCGCUGUGGACUCGUGCGUGCGACUGUGCGCCCGCGCUACGCAGACCGAAGGCAGCAGAAGCUCCGUGCUGGCGCGCAAGCUGUGCCCCGCGCCGGUCACCGCCACCCUCAGCAGACAGCCGCCCAUCGUCGAGCCUUGCUGUGCUUGCGACGAAGCCAAGUAUGAGGUGACUUUCGAAGGGCUGUGGUCUCGCAACACUCACCCCCGCGAGUUUCCCCCCGAGGGAGCGCGGGCGCAUUUCGGUGACGUCAUAGGCGCCUCUCACAACGCGCAGUACCGCGUGUGGCAAGAGGGAAGAGUGGCUAGCAUGGGCUUGCGGCGCUUAGCGGACGAUGGUACCACCACAGCUUUGGAAAAAGAACUGAAGGCAGAGAGCGAUCGUAUCCGCACAAUAAUCAAAGCGCGCGGCAUAUCGUGGCAGCAAGUCGCCGGCGCGGGCAUGCCGAGCACCUUCGCAGUCUUCCGUGUGGACGCCAGGCAUCACCUCGUGUCUCUCGCUGCCAAGAUAGCACCGUCACCCGACUGGAUCGUAGGCGUUUCAGCCUUGGAGCUCUGCAACGCGAAUUGCACUUGGAGAAGAGCGGCCAUUUUACCUCUGUACCCUUAUGACGCUGGCACUGAUAAUGGCCUUAGUUAUAUGUCCCGCCGAAGUCCGACGAUUCCUCAAGCCCCCGUGCGCGCUCUGCGACCGGAGUGGCCGCGCGACGCUCGCUCGCCGUUCUACAGCUCCACGGGAGAGAUGCGGCCCAUCGCCCGCCUGCGCCUCUCACGACUACGACUCUAUGAGAAGAGCUGUGAUCUUACAGAGGUCGUCGGUGAACAAAUACCGGAAAAUGUGAUGAACAAUGGCGGGGCGUGCGCCACCCACGCGUGGGGUCCGUGGGGGGCCUGCAGCGUGUCGUGCGGCGAGGGGCGCGCGGCCCGCCAGCGACACUACGUGUGGCCAGCGAAGGCUAAGGCCGAUGCUUGCAGGGUCUCCCUCACUGAGUACCGCACCUGUCGGGGACCGAGGAUGCAUUGCAGGGUACAGUCAGAGUACGAGCCCGACCCGGCGGAAUCAUCAGGCCCGUGCGCGGUGUCGCCGUGGUCAGAGUGGUCCCCGUGCUCGGGGUGCGGCGUGCGCGCGCGCACCCGUCACUACCUGGCGCCGCGCGCUCACAAGCGAUGCCACGUGGGCUUCCGAGCGCGCACCGUCAUGAGCCAGGCCAUGCCGUGUGACGCUGGACCGUGCCUCAGACCUGGUGAUCCAAAAAACGCGACGAACUUCGAUUGGUUUUACGUAGAAAAAUCCAAAUCUGAUUGCAUAAUAACGCCAUGGGGUAGCUGGUCCCCAUGCUCCGCGCGCUGUGGUCGCGGCAAGAGAAUUCGUACUCGUCUCUAUGUGUCACAAAAUGCACAGGUCCAACAGGAGCUUACUCGGCGACUCUUGACCAAUUGGAAUCAACGAUUUGCUGAAUUGCAGAAUAUCGAACUGCCGUUUGAAAAUGUCACAAGCGAGGAUCCUAAAUUAGAGUCUCAAGUACUGGAGCACUUAGACCGCUGUCAGUUUACGCUGACUCAGCAAGAAGCUCUGUGUGAUGGAGAGGACAUCAACUGUGAAAACGAGACAGUUACAGAAGAAAUAUGUAAGCUGCCGAUGUCCGUGGGACCUUGUCGUGGGUAUGAAGAGCGGUGGUUCUACGACUCGUCGCGCGGACACUGUGAGCCUUUCGGGUUCACGGGCUGCGGUGGCAACGCUAACAACUUUCGCAACAGAGACACGUGCGCCAGAAUGUGCAAUACUACGAAUGUCACAAUAACGUCAUCACUCAUAGAAGCAAGCACAAAGAGGGUGAAACCAACCCCAUCAACGGACGACAAUGAAGUGAUGCCGAAUGAUGCAUCGCCUCCUGUUUUGUUUCCGACGCGGGUGGGCGGCUCCGGUAGACGUCGACUGUGAGAUGGGUCCGUGGCUGGGAUGGAGCGAGUGUUUCGGCGAAUGCGACUUCGCAGUCAAACUCAAUUACCGACACAUUCUCCAUCAUCCCUCUGGAUCAGGAAAACCGUGUCACAAGGUAAUGAAAAGUCGCUCAUGUAAACCAGCACAUUGCAGGAGACUUCUUUUAAACGUGUACAAUUCCUCUGAAACUUACAAUAGCGAUGAACGUGACGACUAAAUA